GCAACUUCAUGAAAAUCACGAGGAUGUGUAGUAUCUGUUCUUAUCAGUUUAAUAUCUGAUACAUCCCUUACCUGGGGACCAUAUAUUAAAUUGAUUUUUGGAGCAGGGAGAUGGAAUAGGGGCUUGCUCCGACCACUCCACGCAUCAACCCAGUAUUGCAGUAUCUCUUGGAGCGGUGCACAAAAA